UAGGGAAUCUUCGGCAAUGGGGGCAACCCUGACCGAGCAACGCCGCGUGAGUGAAGAAGGUUUUCGGAUCGUAAAGCUCUGUUGUAAGAGAAGAACGUGUGUGAGAGUGGAAAGUUCACACAGUGACGGUAACUUACAAGAAAGGGACGGCUAACUACGUGCCAGCAGCCGCGGUAAUACGUAGGUCCCGAGCGUUGUCCGGAUUUAUUGGGCGUAAAGCGAGCGCAGGCGGUUUAAUAAGUCUGAAGUUAAAGGCAGUGGCUUAACCAUUGUUCGCUUUGGAAACUGUUAGACUUGAGUGCAGAAGUGGAGAGUGGAAUUCCAUGUGUAUCGGUGAAAUGCGUAGAUAUAUGGAGGAACACCGGUGGCGAAGGCAGCUCUCUGGUCUGUAACUGACGCUGAGGCUCGAAAGCGUGGGGAGCAAACAGG
rnacentral:rRNA from 1 species